GAAUUUUGGACAACGGGGGCAACCCUGAUCCAGCCAGCGCGCGUGUGCGAUGAAGGCCUGCGGGUUGUAAAGCACUGUUGGCAGGGAAGAAGAGGGCCUGGCUAGUACCUGGAGGUGCUGACGGUACCUGACGAAUAAGCAACGGCGGACUACGUGCCAGCCGCCGCGGUAAUACGUAGUGUGCAAGCGUUCAUCGGAAUUACUGGGCGUAAAGCGUGCGCAGGCGGUUCGGCAAGAAGGAUGUGAAAUCCCAGGGCUUAACCUUGGAACUGCAUUCUUAACUGCCGGGCUAGAGUAUGUCAGAGGGGGGUAGAAUUCCGCGUGUAGCAGUGAAAUGCGUAGAGAUGCGGAGGAAUACCGAUGGCGAAGGCAGCCCCCUGGGAUAAUACUGACGCUCAUGCACGAAAGCGUGGGGAGCAAAC
rnacentral:rRNA from 1 species